UAUCUUCAAACAUAAUUAUGACAUUGAAGGCUACAAAUUAAAGGUCAAAUGUAGAAUGGUUUCAAAUUUCAGCUAAAACUAAAAUAGCACAUUCAUUUUGGAUUGAUUCCAGUUCAAACACAUCAUAAAUUAACCAUACUUUUGUAAACAUCAACUUGUCUGAGUAGCAUUAGCUGAAGUAAGUUUUGGUUCCUCACCCCUUUGUUCUAUUUUCUACUUUCUUUUCACUGAAAUUACUUCAAAACUAAAAAUAGCACUUUCAAAUUAGAAGUUUAAUGUUAAUAUACAAGAAAAUAAAUAGUUACCCAUACAUAUUUGAAACAUUCGAGCAUGUUUUGUGCUGAAGGCUUUUUAUUGCUGCUUUGAAUAUUUGAAACUUUUAUUUCUAGCAGAAAAUGUUUUUCAAUACAAAAUAACAAUCUUUAUAAUAGAGGGCUACUGUAACAAAUGAUGUGGAUUUCGUAAUAAACUUGUCUUAAUUUCACUAAACAUUUUUAAUAAAUAGGAAUUUUCAAAUUUUAAAAAUUAGAAACCUAAUGCUUAUCAGAGGCUUUAUAUUGUUCUUAGUUACUCUCAUUGCAAUUCAUACUUCCCUAUUCAUUCUUACACAACAUUUUAAUUGUAUCAACAUCUAAUACUAAGGCAUCGCUCUUUGUGCUAGAUUAUCAGCAAUGAACAUAUUAUACUCUAAUGUGGUAGUUAUGCUACUGAAUUGAAUUAUUUUUCAAAAAAAAUUUCACAUUUACAUAUCAAAAUUAAGACCAAAAUCAGCAGAACUAUAGCAGAAACAACAGAAAUAGUAAAACUUCGGGCCACAAACCAAACCUAAGUUUUAAGAACAUGAUUUAAAAGAUUUACAUUGCUAAAAUCAACUGUAAAUGUUCAAGUGAGAAUUAAGAUAUUAGUAGAACGCAAUGAGUCAUUCUAACAUGUAUCAUCAUGAGUACAUCAAGCACAUAGAUAUGCAUCUAAAACCCGACAAUGCAUUUUACAUUAUAUGAGAAAUUACAAGAAAAUUUUGCUUGUUUAAUUAAAAAAAAUUAGCCAAUGUGCACCCAAAAGAAAAUAUGUCCAUUUCGGUAGUUCCAGCCAUGCCUAUGGAGUAUCAGUUUCAAGUUCUAUCCCCAAAAAUGAAGUUAAUAUUGCAUUAUUACACAACAUUUUAGACCAUUUUGUGUAACCUAGGUCCUUUAUUUAAAUAGUUUCAACAAUUACAAGAUUGAAGUUAAUAUUACAUAUGAAUAAAAUUAAGUAUACUACUAUUUCCUACUGUAGACAAAUGUGUGUAAUUUGCCUUACUUCAGUUGAAAUAUCAAAAUAAAAUUCAUUGAAUUCGAGCAUUAUUUUGAUAUUUAAGCAGCUAAAAAAGCAAAAGCAUGCAGUCUU
rnacentral:lncRNA from 1 species